AGAAUUCCAGGCCAAGGGUUCUAGUCCUAGGUUCUAGUCCUAGGUUCUAGUCCAAGGUUCUAGUCCUAGGAGUUCUA
rnacentral:tRNA from 1 species